rnacentral:rRNA from 1 species
UACAGAGACUGCAAGCGUUAUUCGGAUUCACUGGGCGUAAAGGGUGCGUAGGCGGCGCGGUAAGUCGGGUGUGAAAUCUCGGGGCUUAACUCCGAGACUGCAUUCGAUACUGCCGUGCUUGAGGACUGGAGAGGAGACUGGAAUUUACGGUGUAGCGGUGAAAUGCGUAGAUAUCGUAAGGAAGACCAGUGGCGAAGGCGGGUCUCUGGACAGUUCCUGACGCUGAGGCACGAAGGUCAGGGGAGCAAACGGG